AGGUCUUAUUGGUGGAUAUAUUCAGUACCAUUUCUUCAGAGUUUUCAUUUGAUCCAGAGAAGUUCUUUUGAGGAAACAGAUCAAGUCACAUAGAAAUUUCCUUCCCUCUCUGUAAGCUACCAGUGACUUCAGAACUCUGAAUUUCAGUGAAUCAUCACUUGAGAGGUAAAAAAUCUGAGACUUGGAAAGAUGAAAUGACUCAUCCAAAUUCACAAGACAAUGACUGAUGGCCUAGAUAGCUAUCCCCCAUCCAUCUCUACUCUUUUGGAAAGAUUACCUUAGUUACUUUGAUGUGCGUGUGGAAGUUUGGGGCGCUUAUCCACAGAGAUGCUGCAGGAGCUGUCACAAAGAGGAUUAUCCAAACAUGUGCUGAAUUUAAAGCAUGUAUAUGGAUAAAGAGAUAUAUGAUUCAAGAAGAAAGAACAAUACCUCC